rnacentral:rRNA from 1 species
UACGUAGGGGGCAAGCGUUAUCCGGAUUUACUGGGUGUAAAGGGAGCGUAGACGGCGAUGCAAGUCAGAAGUGAAAGCCCGGGGCUCAACCCCGGGACUGCUUUGGAAACUGUAUGGCUGGAGUGCUGGAGAGGCAAGCGGAAUUCCUAGUGUAGCGGUGAAAUGCGUAGAUAUACGGAGGAACACCAGUGGCGAAGGCGGCCUGCUGGACAAUAACUGACGCUGAUGCUCGAAAGCAUGGGUAGCAA